rnacentral:rRNA from 1 species
CAGUCGCCGCGGUAAUACGGAGGGAGCUAGCGUUGUUCGGAAUCACUGGGCGUAAAGCGCACGUAGGCGGCUAUUCAAGUCAGGGGUGAAAGCCCGGGGCUCAACCCCGGAACUGCCUUUGAAACUAGAUAGCUUGAAUCUUGGAGAGGCGAGUGGAAUUCCGAGUGUAGAGGUGAAAUUCGUAGAUAUUCGGAAGAACACCAGUGGCGAAGGCGACUCGCUGGACAAGUAUUGACGCUGAGGUGCGAAAGCGUGGGGAGCAAACAGGAUUAGAUACCCGUGUAGUCCCUGUCUCUUAUAC